GGGAGCAAAGGCGAUCUGGCUGCGACAUCUGUCACCUCAUUGAUCACCAGGGAUUGAAUACAGCAGAUCUGGCUGGCUAGGCGGCUGUCCCCCUUCCUCCCUCACCGCUCCAUGUGAGUCCCUCCAGAAACUGCGCACUCGGUCGAAGAGGACGGUCUUCCACAAAUAGAGAAAAAUCACAAGGGUGGCACGCGCGGGAGGGGGAGACGCAAUGAUGUGUGGUGUCAUUCUGUUGUCC
rnacentral:sRNA from 1 species